GCCAGUAUGGUAUAGUGGUUUGAAUAUUGGACUAUUACUCUGAGGACCAUGGUUUGAAUCCCUGCUCAGCCA